CAUGUUUAAUUAUAUGUUGUUAAAAAUUCAAAUUUGAUUUUUUCUUGCUUUGUUUUGAUAAAUCACUAGUACAUUGUAUAUAAAAAUUAGUUUAUAUAUAGUAAUAAAGUAUGUUUAAGUUUUAACCUUGUUGUAAUAUAGGAUUGAAAACCAUGGUUAGUGAAUUCUUGGUGAACCGACCCGACGGGUCAACAGGUAAAAAGGGGAGAACUGUGGAAUAAAACCAAACGCGAGUGUUGUAUUGUUAAUAACUAAUCCUAAUUAUAUAUACUCGUGUGUUGUAAUGAAUUAAAUUGACCCAUAUGUUACAAGUUUGAGUUGUAUGUGAAAACUUGCAUAAACUGAUACACGUAUUUUGACUUUAGGAAGGCAACAAGUUUAAAGAGGACCUCAAGUAAUUUAAGGGUCUAUAAGUUGAUGUGUGUUUUACAUGACCUUAGUUGUGAAAGUUUAAGUGAUUUUAUAAAUUAGAUGUUAUUUAUAUUUUUAUUAACAUAUAGAUGUUAUUUAUAUUUACAUUUACAUAUAGGUGUAUAGAUAUAGAUUUAGAUAACCCUUUAGAAUUACCCGUCUAAAAUUUAUCUAAUAGAGAUAAAUUUUGGAUUGUCCCGUUUUGGGACUGCUUUUUGAAUAUUCUAUCUCAUUUAGGAUAUGUAUACAUUUUAACGAAACGUCAUUUAAGAAAAGAUCGGUUGGUAUUUCCUCUACUCCUACGGGUUUGCGGUUUUAUGCAUACUUGGGGAGUUAAGGGGAAAUGCUUCCUCAUAACAACUUCUUCAUCUUCAUUCAAGAAUUUCACCAUAUAUUUUAUUCUUGUUUUAAGGUACUUUUAUAAGGAGUCAGAGGCUUAAAAACGCAACCGAUGCGCCUUUUUAAAUGUGAACGCAAUCACAGGUGAUAUGUGCAAAAGAAAUCCUAGAGAGGUUGAAGAUCACAUUUUCAGUUUAGCGACUCAUCAUGUCGAUAAAGAUUUCAUUCUUGCACCGCAUUUGGCUGACGACCAUUGGUCUUUGUUCAUCAUUGCCCAACACAUGGGACAUGUUUAUAUUUUGGAUUCAACAAAGAUAAACGGAGAAAAGAAUGCUUCUAACUGUCGUCUUUCAAGCCUAAUUCCUACCGCCUUAGGAUCCGAGUUCAACUACACAAUGGUUGAUUGUAAGCAACAAAAGGGUGGAUGAGAAUGCGGCUACAUGGUUCUCCAACAUAUGUUUGACUUUGUCAAUUUGUAUCAAAACCAAUUUCCUGAUGAAAUGUGGCACGACACGAGAGUGGCUACGGAUAAUGAAAUAGAUGUUUUGUUGAUGACGUUGAUGCCGAAGUUUUUUAGCGAGUUAGGUAUUCCGUUAGUUUAGCUUACGUGUAGUUUGUUAUGUAUUCACAAAUGAUUGUAAUUUGACGGGUUUAUUUCCGAAUUGGAUGUGGGGUUUAUUUUGGA